rnacentral:sRNA from 1 species
UUUUCUCAUCUGUGGUG